CACAUUAAAAGGCAUUAUAGAGAUCUGUUAUGUUACAUCUAUAUAUCUUUUGAAUUAAAGUGUGCAGUGAACUGUUUUGCUAUGAAACUCCUGCUGGUGCUAUUCACUUAUUCGCUCCUCCUGUCCUUACACUGAUGAUGGCGUAAACAAAAUGGGUUACGUGACGUCCGGACAUCUACACACAAAUAAGAAGGAAAUAAAAUAUGAAAAUAACUUUCAAAGGAAAUAACCAAAUAAUGUGAUGUGCUGAAGAGCAGAUAUCAUAUAAUCACAUAUGCAGAUACAGACAGAGACACAGCAGAAUCAGGAGAGAAACACAACAACAUCAAAAAAAUGGCACAAAUGCUAUAUUUCAGACUUCUCAUUGCUCUCUGUUCAUUAUCUGAAUGCAUUCCUCACCGCUAUCACUAUAUAAAUAUAAGUAUGAACUGGACUGAAGCUCAGAGUUACUGCAGAAAUCACUACGCCGAUCUGGCCACAGUCGACAACAUGAAUGACAUGAAACAGCUGAUGAGUCAAGUAAAUAACAGUGGGAAUAUUGGCGUCUGGAUUGGACUGAAUAAUACAGGUGCUUUUAAAUGGAAGUGGUCUAUGGGUGAUCCUGUAACCUAUACAAACUGGGAAACAAAGGGUGAGGCUAAUGGUAAUUGUGCAUAUAUGAUAAAUGGAAUAUG